CCUACGGGUGGCAGCAGUGGGGGAUAUUGCACAAUGGGGGGAACCCUGAUGCAGCGACGCCGCGUGGGUGAAGAAGCGCCUCGGCGCGUAAAGCCCUGUCAGCAGGGAAGAAAAUGACGGUACCUGAAGAAGAAGCCCCGGCUAACUACGUGCCAGCAGCCGCGGUAAUACGUAGGGGGCAAGCGUUAUCCGGAUUUACUGGGUGUAAAGGGGGCGCAGGCGGCGAUGCAAGCCAGGAGGGAAAGCCCGGGGGCCAACCCCGGGACUGCUCUUGGAACUGGGUGGCUGGAGUGCAGGAGGGGCAGGCGGAAUUGCUGGUGUAGCGGUGAAAUGCGUAGAUAUCAGGAGGAACACCGGUGGCGAAGGCGGCCUGCUGGACUGCAACUGACGUUGAGGCCCGAAAGCGUGGGGAGCAAACAGGAUUAGAUACCCCAGUAGUC
rnacentral:rRNA from 1 species